UGUAUCGAUGAUGAUAGCUUGGCUCCCUCUACUGAGACCCAGUGAGGAUAAACGCCACUGUUACCCAAUUCUUACUGAGAUACA